GAAAUGCGAUAAGUAAUGUGAAUUGCAGAAUUCCGUGAAUCAUCGAAUCUUUGAACGCACAUUGCGCCCUCUGGUAUUCCGGGGCAUGCCUGUCCGAGCGUCAUUGCGAACCCCUCAAGCACGGCUUGUGUGAUGGGCCCUCCCGCGUCUUGGUCGUCAAGACGGGCCCGAAAUGCAGUGGCGGCUUCGCGGUUAUCCGAUCAGCCAGAGCGUAUGGGGACUCUCUCUCUUGUCACACGCCCGCGGCGCGGACCGACGCCUGUCGACCUUUAUUCAUCUUCUCUCGGUUGACCUCGGAUCAGGUAGGGAUACCCGCUGAACUUAAGC
rnacentral:misc_RNA from 1 species